GAAGAGAGUUAACUUCUUAUUAUAAGCUACAAACUUGAAUUUACCUUACAAAUCACAGAUCAAUAAGGUUUCUCUCCAAUUACAUUUCCAGGUGGAUUAUAAAAACACACAGUAAGAGUAGCAGCUCCUUUGGAACAAGUAGCUUGUGCACAACCCAAUUCAAUUGAUUUCUUCCAAAUAACUUGUGUAUAAACUCCACACUUAUCAUCCCCUGUACAUGAAUUAUUUUCAUAGCUAUAAAAUUUCUUCUCAGCAACCCAAGAAUCCACCGCCAUUCGUGGGGUCACCACUGUACCACUAGCCCAUAAUUGAUUGCCACCAUAUUUGCCAUUACUUAAAUUUGCAAAGCUGCAAUUUUGUUUGUCCCUUUGGUAACGAACAAGAAGACUAGUUUCUUUUGCUAGCAUUGGACUCCAUGUCAAUGGGCCUACACCCACUUCACUUCUUGCCUUGUUAUGUACAUCCAAGAAUUCUUGCGCCGCGCGGGACGGUGGAGUUGCGGCGGAUGUCGGCGGUGGUGGUGGGACUGUUUGGCCUGAGAUGUGAGUUAAGGUGGAAGCAGUGGCUAAUAAGAGGAAUUGAAGGAAGAAUAAGUUGGUCAUUUU
rnacentral:misc_RNA from 1 species